rnacentral:tRNA from 1 species
GCAUUAAUAGCUUAACGCCAAAGCAUCGGUCUUGUAAUCCGAAGAUUGAAGAUUAAACUCCUUCUUAAUGCC